GCAAACUUGGUCAUUUAGAGGAAGUAAAAGUCGUAACAAGGUUUCCGUAGGUGAACCUGCGGAAGGAUCAUUACUGUUAAAUGAAUUGGACCAGCGCUUAACUGCGCGGUCUAUAUUCUUUAAACACUUUGUUUUUUUGUUUGGUUUGUCUUAUUCUAAGUCAGCCAAUUGAUAAACCCUAGGCUUCGGCCGAUGUAUUUUUAAUUAUUAUUUGUCAUAAAUUUUAAAAUAAAAUUUAAAACUUUCAGCAACGGAUCUCUUGGUUCUCGCAUCGAUGAAGAACGCAGC
rnacentral:misc_RNA from 1 species